rnacentral:rRNA from 1 species
AUGAGGAAUCGAGCCUGCCCAGUGAAUUUUUAAAUGGCCGCGGUAUUUUGACUGUGCGAAGGUAGCAUAAUCAUUUGCCUUAUAAUUAAAGGCUGGAAUGAAUGGUGUGACAAGGGUGACGCUGUCUCUUGAUAGUUUAUUAGAAUUUUAUUUUGAAGUGAAGACGCUUUAAUAUGAUUAUUAGACAAGAAGACCCUAUCGAGCUUUAGUUUAUAGUAAGGGUGUGCUUAUUUAAGAUUUUUGUUGGGGCGACUUAGGAACAAUUGAAGCUUCCUAAAUUUUUAUAGAUCUACGGGUGUUGAUCCAUAUUUAAUGAUUAGUAAAAUUAGUUACCGUAGGGAUAACAGCAUAAUCUUAUUUGAGAGUUCGUAUUGAAAGUAAGGUUUGUGACCUCGAUGUUGGAUUAAAGUUCCUAAGGGUGUAGUUGUUCUUAAGGGUGGGUCUGUUCGACCUUUAAAAUUUUA